AUACGUAGGGGACGAGCGUUGUCCGGAAUUACUGGGCGUAAAGGGCGCGCAGGCGGAUAUUUAAGUCAGCUGUAAAAGGCAUGAGCUCAACUCAUGUAUGCGGUUGAAACUGGGUAUCUAGAGUGCUGGAGAGGUAGGCGGAAUUCCCGGUGUAGCGGUGAAAUGCGUAGAUAUCGGGAAGAACACCAGUGGCGAAGGCGGCUUACUGGCCAGCAACUGACGCUGAGGCGCGAAAGCCAGGGGAGCGAACGGGAUUAGAUACCCCGGUAGGCCUGGCCGUAAACGAUGAAUGCUAGGUGUGGGUGUCGAGAGGCAUCCGUGCCGGAGGUAACGCGAUAAGCAUUCCGCCUGGGGAGUACGAUCGCAAGAUUGAAACUCAAAUGAAUUGACGGGG
rnacentral:rRNA from 1 species